rnacentral:lncRNA from 12 species
AAGGAGUUCGUGCUUGAGGGAGACAGAGGGACAGUGCCCAAGACGGGAGGGUCCGGAGGUGUGCCAGGGAAAAGGGCGCUCGGCAGUGUGAAUGGGCUUAGUGCCCCGAGACCACAUACUUCAAAAUGCUUAAAAUGGUCAAUUUUAUGUUAUGUGUAUUUUAACACGAUUUUUUAAAAGAUUUUAUUUAUUAAUUUGACAGAGAGAGAAAGAGAGCAAGCAAGCACCAGCAGGGGGAGCUGUGGACACAGGGAGAGCAGGAGGGAGGAGCAGGCUCCCACCCGCCAGGAGCCCGGAUUGCGCCUCAAUCCCAGGACCCUGGGGUCAUAUGACCUGAGUCCAAGGCAGACACUUCGUGGGCGGAGCCACCCAAGCGCCCUGUAUAUUUUAGCAUGAUUUUUUUUUAAGAUACAAGGAGGAUAUUCAGAGGUGAGGCCUCCAUAAACACAAGUUAUGGCCUUAUUACACAGGUGUCCUUGAACAAAGCCCUCUGGCCUGCGGCCCCCACGGUGGCCCCUCCACUUUUUCCUCUCAUGGCUCUUAAGCCAAAAAAAUCAGCCAAUCUACCCCAAUCGCCUCUCCUGGGGUCCCUCUGCUCUGCUGCUCUCACCUCCAGCCUGGCCCCCUGCCGGGGGCCCAGGGUCACUCUCAAUCCCCUUCGGCUGUCGUCCCAGUGGGUGUGGCAUGCUCCGCAUGCUCGUCUCUCCCCGCGCAGCCGCCUGCCAUUCUGCGGCUUCCCCUUGCUGCUCCCUCCAUUUGCCCACGGGCCAGAAGCCCCACGUCCCUGAGGGUCCUGCCCCCUCACUCCGCCCUGUCCCCUUGGCAGCUCCGCGCCCAGGCCCCGUGGGCGCCUCUGCUCCUCAAGAGCUCCGGGGUGUCUGCCUAAGGGGCCCUGGUCUCCGAAGCCACCGAAGAGCGGGGUGCAACCUCUCUGAGCACCCGUACUCGAGCCCGCUCUACGGCAGGUGCUUCUCUUGGACAGACGUGGGACUGUCGGGCCUGGGCCAUAAGAUGCCACAACUGCACGAACGAUAACGGGAACACCUGCUCAGGACCUGUAGACUGCCCCAGCUACGCGAACGCCUGCGCUUCAGAAGUGCUGAGUGAGUCCAGGCUCUGUCUUCCUAGAAGUUAAGAGGGUGCAGUGGGAUUCGAAGACCUCGGCAGGGGUGGGGGCGAAGGACAGGUGGGCUACUACCACAGCCCAAGAGGUGUGACAAGUCUCACUCUACACAAAAAGCCUGAAGUUAGAAAAAAUCCCCAGGGGGAUUUCCUGUGAAUCCAAGUGUGGCUUCACAGUGUGAGCCAGACCCUGGCCGCAAGGGCUCCAGCCAGGGGCGCUGCAGCCAGCACGGUUCCCUGGGCACUGCUGGGGUAGAUGCCAAGGCGGAGAGGUCCAUGGGCUCUCAGGACUCUAAGAUAAGUCCAUUCUGGGGUCAGGAGGAAGGUUCCAGUCACAGUCAGUGACCCACAGCUUCUGGAUGUUUCUUCCAUGUGACAGAUAUCAAACUGCCAGACCAGACGGUGGCCCGGGCAGCCAAGACCUGUGUGCAAUCGUGCGAGACCCUCAAUCCCAUGCCAUCCCGUGCUUCAUCCAGAGCUUCAGUCAGCGAUCUACAUGUCUCCAUCUACUGUUGCAACACCAACCUGUGUAACCGAGCUGGGGGCCAAGGGCCAGGGGCCACCACCGUGGGCCUGAUGCUUGUGGCCAGUGUCCUUGUCACCCUCUUAGGGGCCUCCCUGUGACCCAGAGGUGCGGGACAUGAGUGAGGCAGCACAACCCAGGACACCCAGACCCCUAAGCCCCUGUCCCCAUCAGGCCGUCUGUGAGCUCGUAAAUUGAGGACAGAGUACAGAGAAGGUGGAGGGCCUGGUGGGGUGGUCACAGAGGACCACGCCCAUUUGCCCCAGAUCUUCAAGGCCAACAGAGGCACCCCACCCCAGCACACCGACGCAGAGAACCUCCUGGAGUCUUUGGCUUUUUCUGGGUAUCCUGCCCGGGGCCUUCAGCCAUCGGUGCCAGACCUACCACGGUCCUCGGGGAGCUGCUCCCCCAGCUGUGCAGAGACUUUCCGUCCCCCUGGGUGGAGUGUGAACCCAAGGCCUGUCUUCCAGCCCAGAGCCACUGGCCAGGCUGGGGCUCCACCCGCAGCGUCCCCUUCCUGCGGCACUGCUUAUCCCUGUCCGACCCCUGCCCACGCCCCCCGCUUCCCCAGGAGUAGCUCUGGAAUAAAGUUCAUGCAUGUCAGUCCUGCCUCA